GCGGAGGAAAAGAAAAUAACAAUGAUUUCCCCAGUAACGGCGAGUGAAGAGGAAAGAGCUCAAAGUUGGAACCUGUUUGGCCUAGCUAAACCGGAUUGUAAACUGUAGAAGUGUUUUCCUGGCACGCCUGGUAAAUAAGUCCUUUGGAACAGGGCAUCAUAGAGGGUGAGAAUCCCGUCUUUGGCCAGAGCAUGUGUCUUUUGUGAUACACUUUCAAAGAGUCAGGUUGUUUGGGAAUGCAGCCUAAAUUGGGUGGUAAAUCUCACCUAAAGCUAAAUAUCUGCGAGAGACCGAUAGCGAACAAGUACCGUGAGGGAAAGAUGAAAAGAACUUUGAAAAGAGAGUUAAACAGUACGUGAAAUUGUUAAAAUGGAACGGUUUGAAGCCAGACUGGCUUGGUUGUAAUCAAUCUAGGAUUCGUCCUGGAUGCACUUGCAGCCUAUGCCUGCCAACGACAGUUUUUCUUGGGGGAAAAAACUUGAGGAAAUGUGGCCCUUCGGGGUGUUAUAGUCCUUUUGAAAAUACCCUGGGAGAGACUGAGGAACGCAGUGAAUGCCUUUUAGGCGAGAUUGUUGGGUGCUCUUGUUGAUAUAUGCUAGAAUUUCUGCUUUGGGGUGGUGCUAGUGUAUAAAGGUAGGACUCGCUUAAUAUAUCUUCUAUUCACUUAGGUUGUUGGCUUAAUGACUUUAAAUCAC
rnacentral:rRNA from 1 species